GGAAUAUUGGGCAAUGGGCGCAAGCCUGACCCAGCAACGCCGCGUGAAGGAAGAAGGCUUUCGGGUUGUAAACUUCUUUGACAGGGGAAGAUAAUGACGGUACCCUGAAAACACGCUCCGGCUAACUACGUGCCAGCAGCCGCGGUGAUACGGAGGAUGCGAGCGUUAUCCGGAUUUAUUGGGUUUAAAGGGUGCGUAGGCGGGCUGUCAAGUCAGCGGUAAAAUGGAGAGGCUCAACCUCUUCAGGCCGUUGAAACUGGCGGUCUUGAGUGAAUGAGAAGUAUGCGGAAUGCGUGGUGUAGCGGUGAAAUGCAUAGAUAUCACGCAGAACUCCGAUUGCGAAGGCAGCAUACCGGCAUUCAACUGACGCUGAAGCACGAAAGCGUGGGGAUCAAACAGG
rnacentral:rRNA from 1 species